rnacentral:rRNA from 1 species
GAAUAUUGGACAAUGGGCGAAAGCCUGAUCCAGCCAUGCCGCGUGAGUGAAGAAGGCCUUAGGGUUGUAAAGCUCUUUCGCCAGGGACGAUAAUGACGGUACCCGGAUAAGAAGCCCCGGCUAACUUCGUGCCAGCAGCCGCGGUAAUACGAAGGGGGCUAGCGUUGUUCGGAAUCACUGGGCGUAAAGCGCACGCAGGCGGAUUGAUAAGUCAGGGGUGAAAUCCCGGGGCUCAACCUCGGAAUUGCCUUUGAUACUGUCUGUCUUCGAGUUCGGGAGAGGUUGGCGGAAUUCCUAGUGUAGAGGUGAAAUUCGUAGAUAUUAGGAAGAACACCAGUGGCGAAGGCGGCCAACUGGCCCGAUACUGACGCUCAUGUGCGAAAGCGUGGGGAGCAAACAG